rnacentral:piRNA from 2 species
UGACUAUUCUGGUCUUCAUUCCCUGUCCCU